GACGAACGCUGGCGGCGCGCUUAACACAUGCAAGUCGAGCGAAGCGGCGGACGGGUGAGUAACACGUGAGUAACCUGCCUUAGACAUUGGGAUAGCCUCGGGAAACCGGGAUUAAUACCAAAUGGUCUAAGAUGGACUGGCGUCCCAUUAGCUAGUUGGUGGGUAACGGCGCACCAAGGCGACGAGGGGUAGCCGGCCUGAGUGGGUGAACGGCCACAUUGGAACUGAGAAACGGUCCAAACUCGACGGUAGGCAGCAGUAGGGAGUAUGCCACAAUGGAGGGAACUCUGAUGCAGCGACGCCGCGGGAACGAAGAAGGCUUUCGAGUCGUAAAGUGCUUUUAUAUGGGAAGCGGUACCAUAAGAAAAAGCCCCGGCUAACUACGUGCCAGCAGCCGCGGUAAUUC
rnacentral:rRNA from 1 species